UGUUUCGGCUAGGGGGCCAUCCCGGCUUACCAACCCGAUGCAAACUGCGAAUACCGGAGAAUGUUAUCACGGGAGACACACGGCGGGUGCUAACGUCCGUCGUGAAGAGGGAAACAACCCAGACCGCCAGCUAAGGUCCCAAAGUCAUGGUUAAGUGGGAAACGAUGUGGGAAGGCCCAGACAGCCAGGAUGUUGGCUUAGAAGCAGCCAUCAUUUAAAGAAAGCGUAAUAGCUCACUGGUCGAGUCGGCCUGCGCGGAAGAUGUAACGGGGCUAAACCAUGCACCGAAGCUGCGGCAGCGACACUCAGGUGUUGUUGGGUAGGGGAGCGUUCUGUAAGCCUGCGAAGGUGGCCUGUGAGGGUUGCUGGAGGUAUCAGAAGUGCGAAUGCUGACAUAAGUAACGAUAAAGCGGGUGAAAAGCCCGCUCGCCGGAAGACCAAGGGUUCCUGUCCAACGUUAAUCGGGGCAGGGUGAGUCGACCCCUAAGGCGAGGCCGAAAGGCGUAGUCGAUGGGAAACGGGUUAAUAUUCCCGUACUUGGUGUUACUGCGAAGGGGGGACGGAGAAGGCUAUGUUGGCCGGGCGACGGUUGUCCCGGUUUAAGCGUGUAGGUGUGUGUUCCAGGUAAAUCCGGUUCACUUUAACACUGAGGCGUGAUGACGAGGCACUACGGUGCUGAAGCAACAAAUGCCCUGCUUCCAGGAAAAGCCUCUAAGCAUCAGGUAACAUCAAAUCGUACCCCAAACCGACACAGGUGGUCAGGUAGAGAAUACCAAGGCGCUUGAGAGAACUCGGGUGAAGGAACUAGGCAAAAUGGUGCCGUAACUUCGGGAGAAGGCACGCUGACACGUAGGUGAAGUGAUUUACUCAUGGAGCUGAAGUCAGUCGAAGAUACCAGCUGGCUGCAACUGUUUAUUAAAAACACAGCACUGUGCAAACACGAAAGUGGACGUAUACGGUGUGACGCCUGCCCGGUGCCGGAAGGUUAAUUGAUGGGGUCAGCGCAAGCGAAGCUCCUGAUCGAAGCCCCGGUAAACGGCGGCCGUAACUAUAACGGUCCUAAGGUAGCGAAAUUCCUUGUCGGGUAAGUUCCGACCUGCACGAAUGGCGUAAUGAUGGCCAGGCUGUCUCCACCCGAGACUCAGUGAAAUUGAACUCGCUGUGAAGAUGCAGUGUACCCGCGGCAAGACGGAAAGACCCCGUGAACCUUUACUAUAGCUUGACACUGAACAUUGAGCCUUGAUGUGUAGGAUAGGUGGGAGGCUUUGAAGUGUGGACGCCAGUCUGCAUGGAGCCGACCUUGAAAUACCACCCUUUAAUGUUUGAUGUUCUAACGUGGACCCGUGAUCCGGGUUGCGGACAGUGUCUGGUGGGUAGUUUGACUGGGGCGGUCUCCUCCUAAAGAGUAACGGAGGAGCACGAAGGUUGGCUAAUCCUGGUCGGACAUCAGGAGGUUAGUGCAAUGGCAUAAGCCAGCUUGACUGCGAGCGUGACGGCGCGAGCAGGUGCGAAAGCAGGUCAUAGUGAUCCGGUGGUUCUGAAUGGAAGGGCCAUCGCUCAACGGAUAAAAGGUACUCCGGGGAUAACAGGCUGAUACCGCCCAAGAGUUCAUAUCGACGGCGGUGUUUGGCACCUCGAUGUCGGCUCAUCACAUCCUGGGGCUGAAGUAGGUCCCAAGGGUAUGGCUGUUCGCCAUUUAAAGUGGUACGCGAGCUGGGUUUAGAACGUCGUGAGACAGUUCGGUCCCUAUCUGCCGUGGGCGCUGGAGAACUGAGGGGGGCUGCUCCUAGUACGAGAGGACCGGAGUGGACGCAUCACUGGUGUUCGGGUUGUCAUGCCAAUGGCACUGCCCGGUAGCUAAAUGCGGAAGAGAUAAGUGCUGAAAGCAUCUAAGCACGAAACUUGCCCCGA
rnacentral:rRNA from 1 species